AUGAGUAGCUUCUGUAUCCUUGUCUGGAACGUACGGGGUCUAAAUAACCCGGCACGUCGCGGUGUGGUCCGAGAGAUCGUCAAUUUGCAUCAGCCUGCUGUUAUCUGUCUGCAAUAAUCAAAAUUAGACUUUGUUGAUUGCCAAGUUGUUGCUCAAUGUUGUGGAGUGAAGUUCACCGAGUUCUGCUACUCACCUGCUAUUGGGACUCGUGGUGGCAUAAUUGUUGCGUGGAAUCCUGAUGUGGUAACGAUUGUGCCUAGUUCAAUCCAAAGCUCAUUUAUAGCAACUGGUUGUGUUUGGAGGUUGUCUGGACAGAGGUUCAGUUUAGUCACUGUCUAUGGGCCUCAAGCUGAUUCAGAGAAAUUGCAAUUCCUGGAUGACCUCAGGUUAUACUGUCCUAGCAACAUUCCGUGUAUUUGCACUGGGGACUUCAACCUCAUUGCCCUGGCAGCUGAGAAGAAUAACCUGAACAUUAAUCGGAGAACAAUGUCUGCGUUUCGUCGGUUCAUCAAUGAGCUCGAGUUAACAGACAUGUAUCUUCACGGGCGGAAGUACACAUGGACGAAUGAGUAG
rnacentral:rRNA from 1 species